UAGAGGUUCGAAGGCGAUCAGAUACCGCCCUAGUUCUAACCAUAAACGAUGCCAGCCAGCGAUCCGGCUGUGUUCCUCAAAUGACACGCCGGGCAGCUUCCGGGAAACCAAAGCUUUUGGGUUCCGGGGGAAGUAUGGUUGCAAAGCUGAAACUUAAAGGAAUUGACGGAAGGGCACACCAGAAAUGGAGCCUGCGGCUUAAUUUGACUCAACACGGGAUAGCCUACCCGGCCCGGACACAGGAAGGAUUGACAGAUUAAGAGCUCUUUCUUGAUUCUGUGGAGUGUGGUGCAUGGCCGUUCUUAGUUGGUGGAGCGAUUUGUCUGGUUUAUUCCGAUAACGAACGAGACUCUAGCCUACUAAAUAGACGCUUCCGAUCCUUGUAGUCGGACGUUCUUCUUAGAGGGACAAGCGGUGUUUAGCCGCACGAGACAGAGCAAUAACAGGUCUGUAUGCCCAUAGAUGUUCGGGGCCGCACGCGCGCUACAAUGAAGGAAUCAGCGUGUGCUUUCCCUGUCCGACAGGACUGGGUAACCCGUUGAAACUCCUUCGUGCUGGGGAUUGGGAUUUGCAAUUGUCUCCCAUGAACCAGGAAUUCCCCGUAAGCGUUUGUCAUAAGCAAGCGUUGAUUACGUCCCUGCCCUUUGUGCACACCGCCCGUCGCUAUUACCGAUUGAAUGAUUUAGUGAGGCCUUCGGACUGGCGCUCGGAUUGGCCUUCUGGUCGAGCCGAGUGCCGGAAAGAUGACCAAACUUGAUUAUUUAGA
rnacentral:rRNA from 1 species